AUGAACGUCGGCCUUGCGUCUGGCGUCGUUUUCAUAAUGGUGUCUUGCUGCUUCUGUCUGAAGAGGUGCUGCUGUAAGAAAAGCUCCAAGAGCAGUGAAGAGGUCACCGAGGCCGCCGACGACCCUCCCCAACUCCAGGAGUACAGUGUCAUGCCCCCUCCACCGAGGUACCACAUGGAGCCCAUGCCGCCGUCCGUAAGCGGUGGUCCUGUGUAUUCAUACCGUCCGGUCGCCCCGGCGGCGAGCGCAGUGGAGGUUAGUGCGUUUCAAGCGGAUCCACGGACAGCCAACGCCUCCUGUAGCCCUACAAGUCAGACGGUGAUCUCGGUUCCCUCGCCCCCCGUGCCCUUCACUGCCCCUUCGGCCGAGGCGCCAGCUACAGGAAGCCAGGCUGGUACUCAGGAUAGCUCCUUCGGCAGCAACUUCCUGUCCUCCGAGACCGAUCCAUGCUUUGAGAUGAAGGGCAUGAAUCUGGCGCCGCCCCUCUACUCCGAAUGCGUCACUGCGAACGUCUACACGUCGGACAAACUCAACUUCGGCUUCCUCUAA
rnacentral:lncRNA from 1 species